AGUCAUCUUCCCGCAGGCCACUCUUAAAAAAGAAUUAUCUAGAUACAUCACUUAUGGACAACUAAAGACCGAUAUCAAACCUCCCAU